CCUAUAAGACGAGAAGACCCCAUGGAGCUUCAAACCCAACUACACCCCUAACUUCUAUAACCCCCACCCCACGGGACCCUGUAUAGUUGGUUUUAGGUUGGGGCAACCACGGAGCACAACAAAGCCUCCACAAUGAAUGGGACCACCCCCCUUAUCUAAGAGCCACACCCCUAGGAAUUAAAACAUUAAUAUAAAAUGAUCCAUUAUUUGAUCAAUGAACCAAGUUACCCUGGGGAU
rnacentral:rRNA from 1 species